AGGAUUGAGAGGAUCACUUGAAUCCUAGAGACACCAGGACACUCUAGCCUGGGCAACAGAGUGAGACUCUGUGUCAAAAAAAGUUUGUGUUAGAGAUAACAAGCCAAGGCCCGGAAAUACUCAUUUCUGCUGGAGUUGGAAUGUCUGACUUCUGCUUUGCAAACAAUUUCAGCAUUUUUCACAUCCUAAAGAAAGCCCCGUGUUUUUCAUGCCAUUGAUCUGUAGCUGUCUCCACAAAAGGACCUGCGUGCCUGCGGUGGCCCUGGGAAUUUUAAAUAAGAAGUCAAUGAGAGAUGCUGCAAAACAGGCUGAAACCUUGUUCUCUGAAUCCAAAGGAAGAGAUGUUUCCCACACCACAAGCAAGAAAGCUAUAAAAGCCUCAGGGAAGAAAAUCAGAAGAGUCAAAUGUGCCAAGCCCUUCCUGUGCCGUGCAGAUGCGAGCUGAAGACAAGAGUCCAAUCACAAGACAGGAUCUAUCAGCAUCCUCUGACGCAAAAGAUACCGAGUGAAAGGCAAAGAUGGGUAUCUGCUCCAGGGCAGUGCUUCUCAGAUAAUAAAAUGCAUAAGGAUGGUCUGGAAACACAGUAAAAUGAAGAUUCACAUGCAGUCAGUUUAGGACAAAAAGCAAGAUUUCAUUUCUCGUUAAUCCCCACUGAGUGCUGAUGUUGCUUUUCCGCAGAUCGUACUUUGAGAAGCAACAGUCAAAGUGAGAAAGCGUAAAUGAAGGGCUGUGGAAAUGCUAAGACAGAGCUGAUUCUUUCUAGUUGAUAGGUUUAGGUAAGUUCCACAGAGAAGACCCCAUAGCUAGACAGGGAGAGGAACAGAGGUAACAGGUGUGUUGGUGUCUGUGUGGGUCAGUGAGGAUCAGAAGUAACACACAGAGAGAGCUGGGACUGCAGAGGAAACGAGGGGAAAAAAAGAAGAAGAAGAAUUCCAAAAAGGGAAUAACUGAGUACAGUCCUUAAAGCAGAAAAGUACCUGAGAUGUUUACAGGAAAACAAAACAUCUGAUAAGACCAGCGUAUAAUCUACAGAGAAAAUACUAGAAAUGCAUACCAGGAAGAAACCGUGCUGAUCUGAUGUGCAUCUCACCAUAUUGUGGGGGGAGAGAUUAUAAGAUCUGCAAUAAGAUAGGCAAAUUCCAACUUCUGAGAUGAAUUGUGCAGAAUAAAGGGCCUGUAAUUUAGAUCUGGUCCAAAGUUAUUAAUAUUCCACAUUUUGAUAUUUAUUACUAAGUACUCAUUAUUAUUCUCCAACAUAGUUGCCUGUCUGCAAAUGAAACGUCUCCUCAAACAAAAAAACCUUUCUUCAAAUGAGACUAUGGAAGACCAGAACAAAAUAUGGCCUGUCCUUAGCUCAGUAACCUAAACUCAAGCAGUGGCUCUGGAAAAUUACAAAUCAUUUGUAUUUAAGGUCUAAGGCUGAUAAUUUCCAGAAAUGUUUUCUCAUGUGAUAUUCUGGAAAAGGGAACCAAAUGAGGCUCUAAGAAUGCAUAGGUUUUCUGCACAGCUGCCUAUAGAUCCAAGUCAAUGCAAGGUGGCAGAGAUCAGAGAGAACCCCCAGGAUGCCCAGGAAACUCGAGCAAAUUGCCAUAUCCUAAUGGGCAAGUUCACUGCCUACUCACCAACAUUAUUAAUAAUAAAACAAAAGACGAGAAAAGGUAUCUAAAGUAAAGGUAUCUAACAAAUUCUCUCUCAGGGCUUCUUUUUCUGUAUCUGUCUAAAUCAGCAGAAACUUUAAAUACAGCAUGCUGGCUCUUUGGGAUAGGUUGUGAAUCUCACUUAGCAAGAGGUUCCAGGUUAAUUCCUUAAAUGUGUAAAAACCUAAAAAUUCUAAAAAUAAUAAAAAUCACCCACAGAUACAUAAAUGGAUACAUAUGUGAUAAAGCAAUUACUUCCAUAGUGUUAAAAGUAGAAUCUAUGUGGUUUUUGUUAUACAGAUAUCCACUGUAAUGGUUUCAACUUCACUGUAUGUUUUUAAAUUUUCAUAAUAUUGUUAGGGGAAAACUGCCUGUGAUCCGCUUUUUAAAACUAUUUGAGGUAAGAAGUGAAAAAGUCCCCUUCUCCUCUCCUUUCAGCAUUCACCCAGUCCCACUCCUAACAUAAUCACACAUAAAUAUUAGAUGCAGAUUUUUUCCAUUUUUUUCUAUUGAACUUUUUAAUUUUUCUUUUUACAAAAAUUGAACCACAUGUGUAGCUAAAAGUUUCUUCUUUUAUUGAGCAAUACAUCAUUCACAUUUUUUCCAGAUUACUUCAUGUAAUUAUACUUUUUCCUUUUUUAAAUGUUUAAAUUUUUAAUUCUCAUGGGGACAUUACAGUUGUAUAUAUUUAUUACUGCCUAGCUAUAUCAAAGCAUAUAUAACCAUGUCCUUAUUGCUAGGAUUUUAUUACUUUCGAAAAUAUGUCUUCUUAAAGGUUGUAUUAGUUUGCAACCCCACCAGCAGUGUAGAAGUGUUCCCUCUUCUCCAUAUCCAUGCCAACAU